GGGCUCAUGAUCUAGUGGUUAGGAUAUCUCGUUGACGUCGAGAAAGUCCCCAGUUCGAAUCUGGGUGGGCCCA
rnacentral:tRNA from 1 species